CCUACGGGAGGCAGCAGUGGGGAAUAUUGCACAAUGGGCGAAAGCCUGAUGCAGCAACGCCGCGUGAAGGAAGAAGUGUUUCGGCAUGUAAACCUCUAUCAGCAGGGACGAAAGAAAUGACGGUACCUGAAUAAGAAGCCCCGACUAACUACGUGCCAGCAGCCGCGGUAAUACGUAGGGUGCAAGCGUUAUUCUGAAUUACUUGGAGUAAAGGGGGAGUAGGCGGGAAGGUAAGGCAGGUGUGAAAGCAUUGGGCAUAACCCGCGGAUUGCAUUUGAAACUUGCUAGCGGGAGUACAGGAGAGGAAAGCGGAAUUCCUAGUGUAGCGGUGAAAUGCGUAGAUAUUAGGAGGAACACCAGUGGCGAAGGCGGCUUACUGGACUGUAACUGACGUUGAGGCUCGAAGGCGUGGGGAGCAAACAGGAUUAGAUACCCGGGUAGUC
rnacentral:rRNA from 1 species